AACUUCCAUCAAGGUAACCUUACUAGGCUUCCUUCUGAAGUGUUAAUCAUUGGUGAAGUCAUAAGGCACACUGUUAAUCAGAUAGUGGCGUCGGACGCGCCUCACCUUCCCAAAUGUCCCUUUACCAAUCACAGCCAGAAAGUCGAAGUCGGUGGGUUUGGCACUGAAGCACACAAGACAACACAAACUCUAACGGGAUCCAUCUUACUGAGGAUUGACAGACACACCCAGAUUGACCUCGUCUGAUGGAGACGCUGAUAAUGGCUGGAGGGGACAUCAAACGUGUGUUAAACGGCAUGGCUAAUCUAGAAGCUGAAGCUGUAACAG